rnacentral:rRNA from 1 species
CCGGUUGAUCCUGCCGGACCUGACUGCUAUCGGGAUGAGGCUAAGCCAUGGAAGUCGACGUGCGCCCUUGCGCACGUGGCGUACGGCUCAGUAACGCGUGGCUAACCUGCCCUCGCGACGGGGAUAACCUCGGGAAACUGAGGAUAAUCCCCGAUAGGCGAGCGGCUUUGGAAGAACCGCUCACCCAAAGGGACGAAGGGAACGGCCUUCGUCCGCGCGAGGAUGGGGCUGCGUCCCAUCAGGCAGUUGGUGGGGUAAUGGCCCACCAAGCCUAUGACCGGUGCGGGCUCUGAGAGGAGGAGCCCGGAGAUGGACCCUGAGACAAGGGUCCAGGCCCUACGGGGCGCAGCAGGCGCGAAACCUUCGCAAUGCCCGAAAGGGUGACGAGGCUACCCCGAGUGCCGUCCGCUAAGGACGGCUUUUGUCGGGUCUAAAAAGCCCGACGAAUAAGGGGAGGGCAAGUCUGGUGUCAGCCGCCGCGGUAAUACCAGCAAUC